GCCAGCCCCCGUGAACCAGGAGAGAAGCCACUGCAGCCCAGGGGCCAAGCCCUGGAGGGAGUGAGCAAGGGGCACCUCCUGUGGGGAAGGCCUCUGGGGCCAGCCACUGUUGUCUGUCUCGUGGACUCUUUACUUUGUGCCCUUAUGCCCACGCCUAGUUCCCCUGUGUCUCCGUCAGCUGACCCACUGCUGUGACCAAAAGACUGACAAGAGCAAGUGGAGGAGGAGAGGUUAACUUGGGGCUCAUGGUCCCAGCGUCUCAGUCCUUAGGCGGCCAGCUCCGUUGCUCUGGCCCAAGGUGAGGCAGAACAUCAUGGUGGAGUGUGGUGGGGACAGUGGCUCCGGACUCGGCUACCAGGAAGCAGAGAGAGCCUGCGACCAAGGAGCAAGGCCCCAGGGACCCACCUGCUCCAGCCACACCCAGCUGCCUGCUCCGCCCAGGCUGUCCCUGUCCGGGGUCAGUGCCCUGGCAGGGCACGGCUCCCGUCAUCAGCCACUUCACCUCUGACCCUCCUUCCCUUGGCACCCAUGAGCUCUGUUCUUUCUCUACACCUUUAUUUGACUCAUUUAUGUCUCUGUGGUGCUGAGGAUGGAACCCAGGGCCUUCCACGUCUGGGCGAGUGCUCUACCGCUGACCCCAGCCCCGGCCCCCCCACGUGAGCCGUUGGGACACCUCACAUCUCACCACGGUGCCCUGUAGCCCCCUCCAUCGCUGUGGCCCAUUUGUUACAGGCGGUGACCCCCUCUUCACUCACCCUCCUCGGUCUCUACCCCGCACGCUCUGCUGUCCCGGGGUCCCACGGGCCAUCCAGUCGUCACAGCUCCCUGGACUCCUCCUGGCUGGGACACUGUCUCAGACUCUGUUCUGAUUUUGAUGAUCCUGAAAGUUUUGAGGAGUGACAGGAUUUUAUAAAUGUCCCUCCGUUGCCAUCUGUGCCCUGUUUUCCUCAGGGCCAGACUGAGGCCGUGGGCUCUAGGAGGAGGCUACGGAGCCCUUCUGACCGCAUCCUGUCCAGGUCACCUGCCAUCCGUACGACUGGCCGCUGUGGGUGACUGACCACGCCCACCGGGACUCCGCUCUGGGACUGUCCCUUCCUUUCCCAGGCCCUGGGAAGGAGGUCAGGAUGGUGGCUUCUCUCCAUUUAGGGAAAAAAAAAAUCACAUAUAUAUAAAAGCACCAUGAGAAGUUGACUCCACUGUUCCCACAGCGCAGACCUCUUUGGAUCUUGGUGAUGUACACGCAGCGUGAACUUGGCCGUCUUAGCCACUGAAGAACGGAAGCCCCCGGAAGCCCGCACCCAGGAAACACUGCCUUCUCCGGCCGGCCCCUGGCGACCCCGUCGGCUUCCUGUCUCCGUGAGCUGGACGGCGGCCCAGGACAGGGACGGUGCCCCGCUCACCUUUCCGCCCAGCCGCUCGCGCGGUUCAGUAUUUCCUUCCCUUCGUGGCUGGGCGGUCCCCUGGAUGGAAGGACCACAUCUUGUCCAUCUGUCCGUCUGUCAGUGAACGUCUGCUGCUCCCACCCUUUGGUUGCUGGGCACAUGCAGCCGUGAGGUUGAUUCCUCAGGGUCCACUCUAGGAGCGAAGCUGCUGGCCACGUGGUCACGCUCCAUUUAGCGUUCUGAGGAGAUGUUGGGCAGCUUUCCGCCGUGGGUGGGGGUCUUAGGUCCCGCCAACAGUGCAGGAGGACUGACCCCUCGUGUCCUCGGCAGUGGGAGGUGACGUUGUGUUCCGGGUGAGUCGGUGCGCCUUUUUAAUGUUCUUACAAUUCUAUUUAUUUUGGGGGGAGGUGUCCAGGAUGACAUGCUGCGUCCGCCCCCAUCUCUAGGUGGCAGCCCUAGCUGAGGACGUGGUGGCAUUGGAGAUGGGGACUGGGAGGCGACUGGGUGCGAUGGUUGCGAGGGUCAUGGCCUGUGGCAAGAGGAAGCCGGAGGGCUCAUCCCCUCCUGCGGGCACACACAGGGACAGCUAGAAGGGACGUCACAGCUGGAGUCUCCCGUCUCCCCCAGGGAGGGUCCUUGCCAAGAGCCACAGUGGCCAGCACUGGAACUUCAGCCUCCAGAGCCGUGACACAUCAAUGCUGUUGCUUAGGCCACUGGCCCCUGGGAUCCCACCCUGAGCUGAGCAGGCGGGUGGUUCAAAGCUCACAAGGCACAAAACACAUCAGUGAAACCUCCCUCCGGCCCACCCACACAGGUCCCUCGGGGAGGGGACAUUUGUACUGAGACCCACCACAAGACAACUGGUCUCACGAGAGGGUGUUCCAAGCAGCAGGAAAAGCACGUGCGAAGGCCCAGCCGUGGGCUAGAGGCUCAGGAGCUGGGAGGCUUCAGGGUGGCCGGGGAGGAAUGGCCACCGAGAGCCUGGGCCUGGCGAUGGGGGGCAGCAGCCCCCCGGGGCCUCCCAGGGGCCUUGGAGGCCGCACGCGGUGGUGAUCGACGCAAGAGCACGGAUCCAGACCGCAGUGUGCAUCCGGCUCCAUCCUCCCUCGGGGCAGGACACCCCUCCCCCUGGCGGGUUUCCAGAGCCCGUGAGGAAAGCCCCACCCCUGACUCGGGUCUCUGUGACACCCCCAGAGCCAUGCCUGGCGCAUGAGGCCGCUCCCGGCCUCAUCAUCCCAGGGCAGAUGCGCCCGGCACUUCACACUCUGGGGGGCAGUGUCCAGUGGGAGAGGAGAGCCGCUGCUCCAGCGUCUGCUUCACCUGGGCCCCCAGCAGACCUGCCCUGUGUCUCGCUGGCCAGACGCUUUGCCACUCUCCAGCUCUUGAACCUCAGAGGCCAGAGAAAUGGGUCAAGAAGGCCAGAGGCCCAGAGGGCCCAGUGUCAGCCAGGCAGCGCCCCAGAGCUGACCUGUGGUCAGGGGGCCCCCUCAGAGGUGUCCAAGGUGCUACUGCUGCAUGGGCCUGCUCUAGGGGGACAGAGCAGCCUGUGACUGGACGGCCUGUGCAGCCCCAGCACCUCCGCAGGAGUCUGAAGGUCCGUGGCACUAAGUCAGCAGGGACCCAGGGCUCGGCUGAGAGUGGACCUGAGCCCAGGGGCUGGGUGACCUGUGCAAGCACCUGCCAGGUAUGGCUUCCCAGGGGUCCACGGCCAGGCAGGGCUAGGGAGGGAGCAGCCUGGUCCUCGUGACCCCCAACACGUGAAUCCUGGGGUUGGGGUCCUGACACCAACGUGACCUCCAAGGCAAGUCCCUCAGGGUCUGGCCUGCGUCUCCACAUAAUGCUCCUCAGAUGUCACCCUCCAGGUCUCCAGCCUCCACCAAGGCCCGAGGCCAUCAGAAGCUGCUUUGAGAGGUGCCCUGGGAGCUCGGGCCUGCCUGGGCAGAGAUGUGCCCAGCCAGCAGGCCGCGCCAGCUCCCGGGAAGACAGCCCGCCCCUCAGCAGCCUGCUCGGGACACCGGUCUCCCUGGCUGGCCGUGGAACCGUCCCAAGACCCCACCCAGCCAUCUCCUUCUCCAGCAAGCCUCCCCAGCCCUGGGCGGUGAGGUCCUGUAGAAUCUCCAGCCUGGGGAACAGAGUGAGGAGUUACAUCUGACUCAAAAGCCACUUCAGACUAGCCAAGCAGAAAAGGAAGUGUAUUAAUUCUUACAGCUGCCAAGUCCAGGGUAUCCUUCAGGCGUGGCUGGAUCCAGACAGGACCAAGGGGCAGCAUCUCUUUGCUUUAGUUCUACCUCAUGGCAGGUCUGGGCCAACAUCCCCCCUGUUAGCAACCGUGGCAGAGCCUGAGGUUCUCUGUACAACAGUUUUAACCAGAGUUUCACAAUUGGGUCUCCCUGGCUGUGGGUGAGCUGGUUCAGGUCACAUGUCUAUCCCCAAAACAUGAAGGACUGAGUUUAGCUCUGCUGGGCUACAUGGCAUGAGGAUGGGAUGACGGGGCAGUCAUCGCUGGCCACACAGCUGGCCAUGGCAUCCUUGCUGGCUCCUCAGGAGAUGACUGCUUCACGGGCAGGGACGGCGCCCCCUAGUGUUGCCUGCAAAGGCCAGCACACAGCAAGGGUCACAGUAGACACACUUUGGUUUUCUCAGGGCAUUGGCACGUGCUGUUCACCCUGCUAGGAACAGCCCACCCAGCCGGCCCUCCUCCCCACCUCCUAGGACUGCCUUGCUAUGUGGGACUGGGAUCUUAGUAAUCCUGUUUAGACACACACUAGACUGUCAUUCUAUCCUCCCUGCCUCUCUCCUCUUCUCUUUCUAUGCUCCGCCCUAGGGAAAUUCUUCAAAUCUCUUCUCCAAUUCACUGAUUCUCUCUUCAGCUGUUUAAUCCAUGGAGUUUAUAGUUUCAACAUUUAAUUUUGAUUUGUAAAGUCUCUGUGGUUCUUAUUCAAAUAUGAUCUUUCUUUAGCAGACUCUUCUUUUUGAUCUUUUUUCUUUCUUUUUCUUUUUUGAACUGGGAAUUGAACCCAAAGUUUCUUCACCACUGAGCCACAUCCCCAGCCCUUUUUAUUUUAUUUAUUUUUUUGGGGUACCAGGGAUUGAACUCAGAGGCACUCUGAUGAGACCAAUAAGCCUCAUCUCCAGUUCUAUUUAUUUUUAUUUUUAUUUUUUUAUUUAGAGACAGGGUCUCACUGAGUUUCUUAAUGCCUCGUUUUUGCUGAGGCUGGCUUUGAACUCACGAUCCUCCUGCCUCAGCCUCCCAAGCCACUGGGAUCACAGGUUGAUCUUCUUUCUAAUUCUGUCUUUUACUUUUCUAUUUCAAAUAUCCAAACAUCUGAAUUCUCAGGGGUCCACACCUGUUCGCCAUGUCUGUUGACUCUCAUGGGCCGUGUUUCUUUGAGUCUGGUCUUUUCCUUUUUAUGGCAAGUUCAUUUUUGGUUGCACUUCACCAGUGAGAAUCCUGAAGGCCUCAGUGGGUCACUGACCUCCAGAAGGGACCCUCCAUUUCCUUCUGCUGGUUUCCAGCUGGUGUGGACCCUCAGGGCCUGCUCUUGAUCUGGGACCGUUUGAGGUAGGAUGGGGUCUCACUGUCUAACUUCACGCUGGGAGAGGGAACAGCGUCUCAGGGAAGUCACCCUUUUACUGCUCCCACCCAGAGCUCUGAGGCAGACUCCUGGGGCUCCCCGGGGGCUCCCUAUGGGGACAGGCAGGUUGGGGGACGUUUUUGGUCCUGUCCCUUCCCCUCUGCUGGGCACUUUGUUGCCCAGGGAAAUGCAGGCGGCCGGUGUCCCUGGUUCCGCUGUCUUUGGGUAGUUGAGUGUGUUCUGGAAGGGGGGGCCUCUGAGCUGGGCAAUGGGGUGGUGUCCACGUGUGGACUCUGCCCACGGUCAGGUAGCCGAUGCGUUUCAGGGCGUCUGCUCACCAUGCUGCCAGCAGGGUCAGCUUGUCACUGGCUCGGGCGUGGGGUCCUUGUGCUGACGUGCUCGGCUCGGGCAGGACUCAGAGAGGAGGCUCCUUUCUGCGGCCAGCGCUGGGGACAGCUCUCAGGCUGAGGCACGCCUCUGCCAGCUUUGGGCCCUGCAGCAGCACCCCUUGCUGUGAUCCCCCCGGCACUUCUGAGGACCCGGGGGAGGCCAGGGACUGGCCUGCUGCAGAGCGGGCAGAAUGGUGGGCACCGGGUGGACGUGCGGGCGCCCUGCAGGUGGUGGCGUGUAGGGGACAGGCCAUCUGUGCUCCUGAGGUCUGCAGCCCUCCCGCCCUCCCCUCCCAUCUCGGGCACACAGCCCCACUCUGUCCACACCCAGCCGGCCCCGGCCAGCCUUGCUUGGACCUGAAUGUCUGUGCCCAUGGCAGCUGCCUCCUCCCCGAAGACGGCCUGACCUGAUCAUCCCAGGAGCGUCCACUGCUCUCUCCUCUGGGCUGACCUCUGCUCAGGGCCACAUGGUGCGGGGAGCUGGUGUGGACCCUCAAGGGCUAUUGUGAGGACAGAUGGACGUGGGCAGUGGGAACACCUACCCUGCCCUGAGUGUGCAGUGUCUUUCCUGAGGCUGGAACGCCCAGCUCCGGGCCCAUCCCUUAAGCCCCCGCCCGCCAUUUGGACUGACCCAACUGCCCUGCCCAACGUGGACCUGACCACACUGGAGACCCGUGUGGCGGUGGGAUGUGAGGUGUCCCCCAAAAGCUCACGUGCGGGAUGAUGUGCGAGGGCUCGAAGGGGAAAUGAUAGGUUGAGAGGGCCUUGACCCGUCAGUGAGCUGACCCCCCGAUAACCGAGGGGUCGCUGGAGGCAGGUGUGUGCUGGAGGAGGGUCCCCGAGGACGUGCCUUGGGGGUGUGCAUUGUAUCUGGAAAGUGGAGUCUCUGCUUCCUGAUCCCCACGUGGGCAGCUUCCCUGGGCCACACCUUCCCUCCGUGAUGUCCGGCCUCACCUGGAGCCUGAGCAGUGGAGCCCGCUGUCCCUGGACUGAGACCUCUGGAACCGGGAGCCCCCAGAACUCUCCCUCCUCUACACUGUGCUGGUCACAGCGACUCAACACCCGGAGAGUUCAGCAAGUGUCCCCGAGACAGAGGUUGGUCGGGACCCCCGAGGACCUCCUGGGCUGGACGGGGCUGCUGGGCUACAUCCUGCCCCAUCCUGCCAGGUACUCAGCCUGGGAUCCUGUCCCCACCACUGCUCCUGGUCACUGCCCUGGGGAUAUCCCAGGGUCACUGCUGGGCUGCUUCUCAGGCUCUAGGUGGGCGCCCUGGAUUCCAUGGGGAUCCUGACCUGGGCCCAGUACGUGAGUGGAACUGUCCCAGGGACACCCCCCUUCUCUCACUGGAGGCAGAGUUCCAGGCCCUCUGGUCUCAGCCCUACUGCCCCUUGAGCCCAGCUGCCCAGCUGCCCUGGUGCCCGGCCUGGUUCCAUGCGGCUCCCACAGGUCCUGAUGGGCCAGCCUCGCUGGUCCCCCAGCCUUGGCCUCGCUGCCCAGAGGAGAGCCACACAGCCCUCUGGGCUCAGCCAGAGUCCGCACAGGCUGUGGUGGCCGCAGGUCCCGUGGGGGAGGUGGUCAGCUCUGCCCUGCUCAUCCUUGCUCUGCGCACAGAUGGACACACCAUAGGCUCUAGUGGGGUGGGAUGGGGGCUUGAAGCCGCUGUGCUCACCAGAAGAUUCCCCACCUUGACAGGAAACCAUUCGAGACUCCUGACCAGAGGGACACAAAGGGUGGCCAAGAUGGAGCCUGGCACAGGUGGGAACAGAGACAGUCUCCUGUGCUCCUCAGGGACACAGCUGCAGUGGCAGAGCUGGAACUCAGAGACAGGAAGCUUCUGCCGAGGGCAGCUGCCCACGGCGGCUCCUCACUGCCCAGCCCCCCUGGGGCCAGGGAGCAAGACCAAGGUGGGGGUCGGAUGCCUGUGAGACAGCGGGUCUUCAGGACCACGGUCCCCAGUAGGACCCCCACGGGAUCUGCUGGAUGAGCCUCUGAGAGGUCCACCUGACCCGCCCACUCUGAGCCCCACAUCUUCUGGGGAGAACACCUCCUGGGCCCGUGCUCUGGGCACCACCCAUGGUGGGCGUUUGUGUCCAUGGUCAGUGGGUCCCGGCCCACACUGGCUCUCCUCUCGUCCCCCUGCCCUGACUGCACAGCUGACCGGCCAGAGCCCUCUACAGCCUGGCACCCAGCAGAGGCGGGCUCCGCCUGCAGCCCCUGCCUCCCGGCGGCAUCCCCAGGCCCUGUUCGCCCAUUUCCCUCAGCAAUACCCCUCCCCACCCGCUCCCCCCUGCCUGCCUACAAGCCCAGUCACCCUGGAAAGCUUUAUCAGCUGUCCCCCUCCUCAUCAGGGAGACCUCACUUUCCCUCCAGGCCACCCUAGGCCUUGGUUUUACCCCACCAGAUUUUCACUAGUGUCUGUGUGUGUCUGCCUCCCCCCAGAAACAGAACUCAGAAACAGGAGGCCAGCACGGGGCGUGGCCUCGACGGAACAAGGCAGCCUCUCCCCACUGGCCUCCAGGGAGCGUCACUCAGGAACCCUGGUGGAGGUCUGGGGGUCCCAGUGGAACCCUGCAGAAAGCCAGUCUUGGCAACGUUCCCAGCCUCCACUCUGGAACAAAGGCCCCGUUUCCUCCAAAAAAGAUGGGCCAGGGUGACGAGGAUGAACCCGGGCACCUGCCUCCCAUGACAGCACAGCCGCCUGCUCUGGCCGAGGCGUGUGCACUGGCUUCUCAGCAGAACCAGCUCCCACACAGUGGGGGACCCAGCGCCCCCAGAAGGGGAAAAGACAAGGGUCCCCGGGAACCUCCAGGAAGGAACGUGGCCCUGCCAAGACUGACUUCAGCCUCUGCAGCAAGCCCACGAGGCUGACCGCCCACCUAGGACCACGGUGGCCAUCUCUAAGGGGUCAGCUACUGAGCUCGUGGGGUUUGUUACAUCGGAGCAGCAACAAGUGCACCGCGCCUCCCGGGGGACACGGGCUCCCAGAGAGGAGAAGGAUCUGCCCAGCCUACCGCCAGGCCUCCUGACCACUGCCCAGGGUCCCCGCCCGGCCCACCCUCCUUGGAGGACAGGACAGAGGCACCAGCAGACAGGCAGUGCCGGCCCUGAGAGGCCAGAAGCUGCGGAGCCCGUCGCUGUGCGGCCUCAGGGAGCUGGGGGCCGGGGCGGGGGGCUGUGUGCGGAAGCCAGGGAGCAACUGUGGCAGAAGUUGGAACUUGUAGGGAGCCAGUGCCCUGCCAAGAGCCCCCUGGGGUCCCCACGUCCCUGCAAAGCAGGUGGUGGCAGGCGCCCACAUCAGCCUGGGUCCAGAGAGCACCCAACACACGCCCUCGUCCCCGGAGGCCAGCCAGGGCUCUGCCUAUUUAUAGAACCCUCAUCCAUCUUCCUGCCUUUGAUCAGGGAGGGGCUGGGCUCCUAGGAGGCUGCAGAUCUUGGCAGGCCCUGCCUCUGCGGCAGGGCGGCCGGGCUCCCCUCAGCUGGGGUGGGGCCAGCGCUGGGGCUGGGGAGCACCUGCACAGCGGCAGAUGGCCUCAGGCCACCUCAGGCUGACCGGCAAGGGAGGCUCCUGGUGGAAGGGCUUCCGUGGGCCCUUCUCCCCCGCAACUCUGGCAACCAGCCAUCUUGGCGUCUGUGGCUCUGAGGCUGCUCUCCUGGGAAGCCACUCAGGUCUCGGGUCCUGGGUGCCCUCCCUCCCCCCACCUGCCAUCGAAAGUCCAAGGUUCCCACGCUCCCUGGAGUUUGGGCUCCCUCCUUCAGAAGAGCCCCGCGCCCAGGCCCUGGGGUGGGCACAGAGGCGGCCAGCGCCUUCACUCCCAGGGUCAGGCCCCUCCUGCUGGACGGUGUUCCAUGCCCACCCCCACUCCCUCCGGGUGACCAGAGCCAGGAGGCCUGUGUUCUGUCCCCGACACGUCCCCGACACGUCCCCGACACGUCCUCGAAGGGCAGCUGGACCCUGGGGGAGUGUGAGUGUCAGGGGCUGGGACUCCUGGGCUUCCUCAGCAGCUGCUCCCUGGACUCGAACCCUUCAAGGCAUUCGCCUCCCUGCUCCAUGCCUUGUCCCCUGGGGCUGGACACCAGGGCUCUGGGAGGGGACUCUUGGAAAGGGGGAGGCGGAGCAUCAGGACUGGCUGGCCGACUGUGACCGGGCGCUGCGCGGUUUUCUUUCUUCUUUCUAAUUAUUUGAAGAGACCCUAGAUUUGGGAAAGGUCUUCGCCUGGCCUGAGUCUCGGGGUCUCCCUUGACCGCUGUAGAGCCCCUGGGAUAAUCCUCCUUGCCCUCGAGCACCUGUCCCUGCCCCCACACCCAGGAAGGGUCUGAACAUGGAGUAAGAAGUCAGCCAGGAGCGGGCACAGCCCUCCAGAAGAGGGGCGCACAGAUGGGACUGCUGGGGGGACUCUGGGGCCUUUCCAUCUCCGCCUCCCCCACGGCCCCCCCUGGGCUGCCGCACACAGUAGGUCUCCUAACUGGGUCCCCAGGUGGGUCCUGAUCUGAAUCCCUCAGUUCCAAGGGGAGGCUUCCUGCGGAAGCACUGGAGGUGGAGGAAGGGACGGGACUCGCCAUGCCGCCAGGCCUCCUGCGAGGCUGCCAGACAGGGUGACCCUUGCUGUCUGUUUCUUUCUCCCCCUCAGGUCCCGCGGGCUUGCUCCCAAACUCCAGCCCCAAGCAGCCAUUCCUCCACCCUUCAUGGCUCGUCAGCCCCAGGAGGCAGCACGAGCAUGGCUCCCUGGCCUCUCCGCCACUUCCAGGAGCCAGGGUGCUGGUCUGGAGGCGCGGGCCUCAGUGCUACCCUCUGUCCUCAGCCCUCCCAUCACGUCCUUGGGGGCCUCACACAGCACUCUGCACGCACCCCGGUUCCAAACUCCUCCUGCCCCAGGGCCUUUGCAAGGACUGUGCUUCCUCAGCUGUCUCCCUCAGGCUCUCCCCUCCAUGGUCUGGCCAGAGGCCUUCUCAGAGCACCACCCCACAGUCCUGCCACUCUCUCUGUGCUCUUCUGCAUGGUACCAUUGAACCCAGGGACACUUUACCACCGAGCCUCUUCUGCAGCCCUUUUUAUCUAGUUUGCCAAGUUGCUGAGGCUGGCCUGGAUCCUCCUGCCUCAGCCUCCCGAAGCCCUGGUGUUCCAGGGGAGCACCCCAUGCCAGGCUCUCCCUGGGCUCUUCCUUGUCUUCUCUGUGGUGUGUCCCCUCACCCGUGUCUGUUCUCCCCCAGGACAGUAACCCUGGAGGACUUGGUGCUGCCCGUGUGCACCUUGGUCCUGAAUGAGUAUCCAGUGAAUGAGGGAAGGCCAGUGUGUGGUGGUGGAAGCCAGGCUGAGGGGCUGUGGCCAGUUUGCCACCAGGGCUCCCUGAGCCGCCCAGCGAAGGCAGGAUACGGCCCUGGCCAGGGGGGAGCCUGCUGCUGGGGUGUGGCUUGGCACGUGGCUGUGGGGCGGCCGUCCUCCUGUCCAGAAGACUCGGGAUGUGCCUGGAGCAGCCUGAAAGCAAGGCCCCUGGCCUCUCUGCCUCACUUGGUCAUCCCGACUCAGGACAACCUUAGCGUCCCUCCCCGUGCCCAGUGAGGUCCGAGGAAAGUCCCCAGGGAAAGUCCCCUGCAAGCCAUUGAUGACAGCACGGUUGUAGCUACAAUGCUAAAAUAUGAAAGUAAAGAAAAAUUUCAAAAAGU